GCAGUGGUGGUUCAGCAGUAGAAUUCUCCCCUUCCAUGGGGAAGACCUGAGUUCGAUUCCCAGCCAGUGCA
rnacentral:tRNA from 1 species